rnacentral:misc_RNA from 1 species
UUUCCGUAGGUGAACCUGCGGAAGGAUCAUUCAUAAUAAGUGUUUUAUGGCACUUUUUUAAAUCCAUAUCCACCUUGUGUGCAAUGUCAGGGUUGAUUUUUCUCUCGAGAGGAUCAACCCUAAACAUCAACUAUAUCUCAACUCUUUGUCUGAAAAAUAUUAUGAAUAAAACAAUUCAAAAUACAACUUUCAACAACGGAUCUCUUGGCUCUC